rnacentral:rRNA from 1 species
UUAGGAAUCUUCCCCAAUGGGCGAAAGCCUGAGGGAGCGAUACCGCUUGAGGGACGAAGCAUUUCGGUGUGUAAACCUCUGAAACUGGGACGAUAAUGACGGUACCAGUGUAAUAGCACCGGCUAACUCCGUGCCAGCAGCCGCGGUAAUACGGAGGGUGCGAGCGUUACCCGGAUUUACUGGGUGUAAAGGGCGCGUAGGCGGUUAUUCAAGUCCGAUGCUAAAGACCGAAGCUCAACUUCGGGAGUGCGUUGGAUACUGGAUGGCUAGACGAUCGGAGAGGGUAGCGGAAUGGUCAGAGUAGCGGUGAAAUGCGCAGAUACUGAUCGGAACGCCAAUAGCGAAAGCAGCUACCUGGACGAUAAGUGACGCUGAGGCGCGAAAGCGUGGGGAGCAAACC